rnacentral:rRNA from 1 species
AUUGAACGCUGGCGGCAGGCUUAACACAUGCAAGUCGAGCGGGGUGAUGGUGCUUGCACUAUCACUUAGCGGCGGACGGGUGAGUAAUGCUUAGGAAUCUGCCUAUUAGUGGGGGACAACAUCUCGAAAGGGAUGCUAAUACCGCAUACGUCCUACGGGAGAAAGCAGGGGAUCACUUGUGACCUUGCGCUAAUAGAUGAGCCUAAGUCGGAUUAGCUAGUUGGUGGGGUAAAGGCCUACCAAGGCGACGAUCUGUAGCGGGUCUGAGAGGAGGAUCCGCCACACUGGGACUGAGACAAGGCCCAGACUCCUACGGGAGGCAGCAGUGGGGAAUAUUGGACAAUGGGGGGAACCCUGAUCCAGCCAUGCCGCGUGUGUGAAGAAGGCCUUAUGGUUGUAAAGCACUUUAAGCGAGGAGGAGGCUCUUUUGGUUAAUACCCAAGAUGAGUGGACGUUACUCGCAGAAUAAGCACCGGCUAACUCUGUGCCAGCCGCCGCCGUAAGAC